CCCGGACACGUUUGAGUUUCUCGUCCUGUUGUUUGGUGAUGAACCCCACCAGCUCCUGCUUCCUCUCCUCCAAGAUGGCCACCAGACUGUCGAAACGCAUGGCCAGCUGCUCUCUCUGUCGCUGACCGUUCUCCUGAGCAGGUUCCUCUGCAGACCGUAGACUCCAUGGCGGUCCAGCACCACCUCGUGGCGGCACGAUGGACAGCGGAACCGACAGCCGCUGACAGCCACGCUGGACGAGCCGCGGGACUGCCACAGAGGGUUGGCUGACUGGGCGAGGAGAAGAGGGAGUGGACAGUGGAGGUUUGGCUAAGCUGAUGAUCAGUUCUUGGCCCCAAGUGGGACCUGGAUUAUUCCUUCUCCCUGUUCACCGUUUCACCUGAUGAGCCCAGCAGUUUGUAGUCUAAUCCCAGCAGAAGACACGGGCUCACCUGGAAGAUGUCACUGGCACACCUGCGGCAGAGGUUGUGCUGGCAGGGCAGGAUGACCACGGGUUUGGAGAACAUCUCCAGGCAGACCGGGCAGAUCAGCUGCUUCUCCAGGUUCUCCAUGGUGGCUCCUCUGCCAGCAGCGGGUCCAGAACUGCCUGCUGACGGAGGCUUGAAGCCGGCAGCAAAGUUCAUCACCUCCAGGAGCGUCAGAAGAAGAUGACGAGCAGAGAAACACGAGGCGUAAACCGACUUCUGAAGACGCCACCUCGAGCUUUGGGAAACCGUGGAGGCCAUUUUUCACUCUUUUCUGACACAGAGACAAAGCACGAUAACAUUGUUUUGGUGAGUGUGGUGAAACCUUGAGAGGAUGAAAAG